CAUCAUCUUCAUCAUGAGUUACAACAAUGAAAGCCAACCCUCUGUCGGUGCUCCUCCUCAGCUCAACAUGAGUUACAACAAUGAAAGCCAUCCCCCUGUCAGUGCUCCUCCGCCACUGGGAUACCCCACUAAUCCUGUUCCAGAGGAUGCCCCUCAGCAGCUGCAGCAAGAUCAGCAACGAGGAGUUCCACGACAGGUCAUCUGUUGUUGUUGGGACAUUCUGUGUUGCUGUUGUAGCUGCUCAGCUGAGGAGGAAUAAAUGGAUGCUCAUUGGAGUAAAUGGUUACGAAGAUGUUAUUUGGGUUAACAAGAAGGAGGCCUGUCUCGUGAUUUGAAAAUUUCGUUUAUCUUUUAGUGCUUUAUUUUGGACAUGAAAAAGUAUCUUGUUGUUCCGGUUUGUUAAUUUAUGUUUGGUAUUGUUUGUUUAUGUUUAUUGGUUUACGUUAUUUAAUGAUUAUUUAAAUU